rnacentral:lncRNA from 1 species
UCCUCACCCCUAAGCGGUUGACAAAGCCUCUCCUCUGCAGAGCAGGUUCCCUAGUAGAGUUGACAGUAUCCAGACUGUAUAUCCCCAGUAGAGUUGACAGUAUCCAGACUACAUGAAUCCUCACCCCUAAGCGGUUGACAAAGCCUCUCCUCUGCAGAGCAGGUUCCCUAGUAGAGUUGACAGUAUCCAGACUGUAUAUCCCCAGUAGAGUUGACAGUAUCCAGACUGUAUAUCCCCAGCGGAGUCGA